GAUGAAGAACGCAGCGAAAUGCGAUAAGUAGUGUGAAUUGCAGAAUUCAGUGAAUCAUCGAAUCUUUGAACGCACAUUGCGCCCCUUGGUAUUCCAUGGGGCAUGCCUGUUCGAGCGUCAUCUACACCCUCAAGCACUGCUUGGUGAUGGGCGUCUGUCCCGCCUCCGCGCGCGGACUCGCCCCAAAGGCAUUGGCAGCGGUCCUGACCGCCUCUCGCGCAGCACAUUUGCGCUUUUCGAGGCAUCGGAGGCCUGCGUCCACGAAGCCCAUCUUUAUUUUUUGACCUCGGAUCAGGUAGGGAUACCCGCUGAACUUAAGCAUAUCAAUAAGCGGAGGA
rnacentral:misc_RNA from 1 species